UGGAGAGACCAGGAGACCCGGCAGUGUGGCUGUUUGGAGCAGACAGAGAACUGCUUUGGGGCAUAGCGGUUUGAAGAAAACUGCAGGCUGCAUUUCUGUUGACUGAGAUGGGCAUAUAGCCCUACAAGAACCCCUUGACCCUAAACAUCUGGGAGAGGACUUCAUGGUCUUGGGAGUAGAAGUGCAUCAGGAGGAACCCAGGGUGCACCGUUCUACAGCCAUCCCUCCGGGCGUCCCGUCUUGCUCAUGGUGCGUGCGUGCUGCUGUGCCUACUGCGUGCUGGUCCUUACUUGUACGUUUAAGUUAAACCAUUCCAUACAUUUGAAAAACAGCUUCAACUUUACCUUCAAGGCCUGAAAGGGAAGGUAUUCCAAAGGAAAACCUGUCACAAAACUCUUGACUCACAAGAAAGAAGACACAUGGACCAGCAUGUUACACUGUUCCAGAGAGAUCCACGCUGCUGCAGAGAGGAAGGCAGGAAACGCCCCAACACCAGAAGACCCUGCAGUUCCUACCUUGGAGGUUAUCUGUGCUGGUUUGGGGAAUCUUCCCACCUUGGCAUUUAAAACUGAGCAAUGAAAUCCUGUGUCUCCUGCCCCGAGGUUUAUCUGGCAUUCUGAAGCAGUCUAGACCCCAAAAUCUCACCAUAUAGACCUGGCUUCAAACUUACAGAGAUGCCGCUGCCUCUGUGAUAAAGAAGUGUACCACUCUGGCUUCUAAGUCUUUUUUUUUUUUUUUAAUUUAUGUAUGUGUGUGUGUGUCCUUGGAUAUCCGUGGAGAGGAGAAGAAGGCCUCAGAUGCCUGCGCUGGAGUUAUGGAGGUAUAAGCUG